UGAGAUAGAGGACGCGUCACGUCAUCAGUAGUGAUCCCGUUUAUCAAUGCAGUGCAGGGAGAAGCGAAAGGGACUGACGCCGAAGUGAAGCCGGGCUGCAUCCGGGCGGAUCUGGGCGGACGUAAUAAGAUGCGGACGACUGUCGCGAAUACGCGGAGCGCUAUCC
rnacentral:ncRNA from 1 species